GGUCUUAAUUGAAGCCCCAGUGAACGGCGGCCGUAACUAUAACGGUCCUAAGGUAGCGAAAUUCCUUGUCGGGUAAGUUCCGACCCGCAUGAAAGGCGUAAUGAUUUGGGCGCUGUCUCAACAAUAGACUCGGUGAAAUUUAAAUUCCAGUGAAGAUGCUGGGUACCCGCGACAGGACGGAAAGACCCCGUGGAGCUUUACUGUAGCUUGAUAUUGAAUGUUUGUGCUGCAUGUGCAGGAUAGGUAGGAGACUUUGAAGUCGGAACGCUAGUUUCGAUUGAGUCACCCUUGAGAUACUACCUCUGUUGUAUGAACGUUCUAACUCUGAUCAGUUAUCCUGAUCGAAGACAGUGUCUGGCAGGCAGUUUGACUGGGGCGGUCGCCUCCUAAAAGAUAACGGAGGCGCUCAAAGGUUUGCUCAGAAUGGUUGGAAAUCAUUCGUAGCGUGUAAAGGCAUAAGCAAGCUUGACUGUGAGACUGACAAGUCGAGCAGGUACGAAAGUAGGACUUAGUGAUCCGGUGGUUCCGUAUGGAAGGGCCAUCGCUCAACGGACAAAAGCUACCCCGGGGAUAACAGGCUCAUCUCCCCCAAGAGUCCACAUCGACGGGGAGGUUUGGCACCUCGAUGUCGGCUCAUCGCAUCCUGGGGCUGUAGUCGGUCCCAAGGGUUGGGCUGUUCGCCCAUUAAAGCGGUACGCGAGCUGGGUUCAGAACGUCGUGAGACAGUUCGGUCCCUAUCCGUCGUGGGCGCAGGAAAUUUGAGAGGAUCUGUCCUUAGUACGAGAGGACCGGGAUGGACAUACCUCUGGUGUACCAGUUGUUCUGCCAAGAGCACCGCUGGGUAGCUACGUAUGGAUUAGAUAAUCGCUGAAAGCAUCUAAGUGAGAAACUAACCUCGAGAUGAGAUUUCCCAUUCGUCAGAAGUAAGACCCCUGAGAGACGAUCAGGUAGAUAGGCUAGAAGUGGAAGUGUAGUGAUGCAUGGAGCGGACUAGUACUAAUAGGU
rnacentral:rRNA from 1 species